rnacentral:misc_RNA from 1 species
UUCAAUUUCUUUAUCAUCAUAGUCCACCCCACCAUAUUCUUCAGCUUCAUAUUCAGGUUCGUUAUCAUCAAGCUCCAACCGCUCAUCUUUUUCAUACUCAUCAACAGAUUCCUUAACAUCUUCCCCUUUUUUCAAAGAAGCCGAGCCGUUGACGUCUAAUUUGGCUCCACCUUCACCUUCUACAACUGGCCUUUCUUCUGUAAUUGGCUUGUUCUCAAAAAGCUGUUUCUCCUCCACAGGAGGCUUUUCAUCAACGACCGGCCUUUCCUCUGUUUUUGGCGUCUCUUCUGCAACUUCCGGUUGCUGAUUUUGUCCCUUGGCUGCCCCUCUCGAGGCUCUAAGGGCCCUCUUCGACCCAGCUGCCGCUCCUCCUCUCUUCACAGUCCGUGGAGGCAUUGUUUCAGAUCGUCAAAACAGCACCAAGUGCUUGUUAAAACCCCUGAUUGAUAUACUCAAAUCGAAUAAACAACUCUAAAUUCAUAAAUAUCCCACAGAAACGGUGAACGCAAAAAUAAAACCUAAAAUUGACCUCACCACAGAAACCCUAAAUUCCACAGCUGAAACGCAAAGAAUAAAAAACCCUG